GUUUAAUCUUCCAAUACGCUUCAAAUGGGGCCGUUAGAUAGAAAUAUCUAAAUGAACAUCUGGCUGUAUGCUGGGAACUCCUUAUUAUAAAUUCAAAAAAAAGAAAAAAAAGAAACGAGAGCUUUUUUGAAUAAGUAAUUUAAAUAUAUAAAACGACUUAUUUAAGUUUUAAGUAAAUAAGUAAAACUGUUUUAUAACGGACAAUCAGCAGGGAAGUCCUAUGACUUUAAAAGUUAUGACCCCUCAACGACUACACGCCGGACACCCAAUAAAAAAUAAGUAUUAUACGUAAACACGCUACGCGUGUUUACUAAUAUAAUAAUUUUAUUUAGGGUGAUGAUAUAGUCUACUACUUAUGUAAACAUAAGGGUUUUGCUUGUUUCUAAACUGAAACAAAGACAAAACUUAAAAUAAAAAAUUAAUUUGGGUAUUUCCUAAAAGGGUAGCAUUGCAGCCCAAGGAAAAAAGAAGUUACUUGUUUUUUAAAAAAUUUAAAAAAUUAUCAAAAAAAAUCUAUAUUGCCUUUGCAAAAAAAACAAAUGACUCCGGCAUACAACCUAUAGACAAAAAUACAAUAAUUGAAAAGAUUGUACAAUCUUUUCAAUUAUGGGUUGUAGAAUAUAGGUUAAGUUUAAAAAAACGUAAGAAAGGCCAGGACGAGGAAUUAAUUCGUAAAGGUACUAAUUUUUUAUAUAAUUUUUUUGAAUAUUCUUAUGAUUUAGGUUGGUUAGAAAAUCAUUUUUCAAUUGAUUCAAAAAAUGAAGUUAUUAUAAAUUGGGAUAUUUUUCCAUUUAUGGAUUUUUACAAUAUUUGCUGCAAAUAUUUAAAAGAAAUUGAAUUAACACGAGAAGAUUAUUCUGCGGACCGUAAUAGUCCGCAGUAUAAUCUUUUUUGUAGUCAUCACAUUAACCCAAAAUUUAAUAAAGGUGGAGACGAACCUGAAAACUUAGUACUAUUGCAUUACUUUGAACACGCAUAUGUUCACUUGUUUAGAUGGUUAAUAACUGACAACCCAAGGGACUUAGGAGGAUUCACAAGUGCUAUGAAUGCAAAAGAAAGACGUGAAUUACAAAUAGAGAAACGUAGAGAAAAUCCACCAAAGCUUACUUUACCUCCUUUACCUCCUCCAGCUGAAGAAAGAAAAAAACCUGCAAAAACAGCUAAAGCAAUACGUGCUGGUAAAGCUGUAGGUAGUAAGUAUCAACUUCAAAGCUUAAAGAGGGCCAAUCCUUUUACAAUGUUUAUGGCAAAUUUAGUUUUAAAAUUCAUUAAUAAUAAUGGUAUUGAAGUAAUUCAUAAACCUUCUGACAAUAUAAAAGACGUUAGUGUUAAUUCCGCAUCAGCUAUUGGUAGAGCAUUAAAUAAUGUUUAUCCUACUGAAACUCUUACAAACAGUCCUGACGGAAUUUCAAAACUACUUAAAGGAACUAAUAAAAUAGUGCAAAACUGGAGAAUCGAUAGUUUAUUUAUUGAUGAUUUUGAAUAUGAAAUCACUCAAGAAGUUUUACUAAAAUAUCAAGACCUUUUUGAAACUUUAACAACAUACUUUUCUGAAAACCAAGAAUUAAGCAUUUUAGAAUUAACUAAAUCUAUGGCGGAUAUACGCAAUAGUAAUCCUAAAGAAAUUGCUUUAAUUCAAAAAAUGUUUACUUUUAUUAAAAAAUGGUCUUUUUUAAUAAAAAGUCUUAGUGAAGGAAAAGCUGAUGACGAAAUUGAUUUACCAACUGACUAAAACAAAGAAAAAAUUAUAAAACCAAGGCCCGGGGGGGGGUGGCAAUACCACCCCCUCCUAAACUUUUUAUUUUUAACUUUUUAUUUUAAUAAAAAGCAUUUAACAACUCUCG
rnacentral:ncRNA from 15 species